rnacentral:misc_RNA from 1 species
AUGCAACUAGUCGUCUGCGUCUUUCUACUUCUCUUCUCAUUUGUCAAUUUUCUCCGAACGGAGCAAUCAGAAAGAAUGCAUGACGAUUGUCUGAAAGCAAUUUGUCCAUUGGUUUUUCACAAAGGAUGUCCAUCAGACUCUCAGCUGAUCACUGUAUCGCCAGCGCCGGGAAACUGUUGUCCACCACCGGGCUCUUGCCACUGUGAUCAGAAGAAAUGCGUUCCAUCCGUGCCAACUUGUACAAAAGAAGAGCGACUUGUGAUGGUUGAAAAAGGUUCAGAUAUACCUGGAAAAUGUUGUGCAUACUAUGAAUGCCAUAAGAAAGAGAAAAAGUGCGAAAAUGUGCACUGUCCUCCUAUGUUCCAAGAUGAAGAAGAAUGUCCACCUGAUAGUAUCCGUCCACCAGAGAGUAUUUCAAAAGAAUCAUGUUGCCCAAUAAGACAAUCCUGCAAAUGCCGUGGCUCAAUCUGUCGUCCUGCUCAAUGUCCAGAUGGAAAAGUUGUGAAUGUCACGAAGAAAGGAACUGGAUUUCCAGGAAGAUGCUGUGAUAAAUGGGAGUGUGUGGAUGCUGAAUUGUCAAAAGCAAAAUGUAAUCACAGUGGUAUUGAGAGACAACCACUUGAAACCUGGCACGUGUCAGAUUGUGAAUCUUGUCAGUGUAUUCGAGGAGUUUCAGUUUGCAACAAGAUGACAUGCCCAAAAGUGAAUCAGGAGUGCACUUGGAUCGGCAUACCAACUGGAGAAUGUUGUCCAGUAUGUCUUGGCUGUCAGACUGAUAAUCAAACCAAACUUGAAAGAGGUGCAACUUGGCAAAAAGACGACUGCACAUCCUGUACAUGCUCCGAACUUGGUGCUCAUAUGUGCGAGAAAUAUAUGUGUAAAACAGAUUGCGAGAAUCCAAGAAAAGUUGAAGGGCAGUGUUGUCCAGUUUGUGAUGAACCUACCAUCAUCAGACCUCCUGCAACAUGUCCAUCACUCGAACUGUGUUCUCUGAGAUGUGCCAAUGGACUUCGUCGUGAUAACAUUGGUUGCUAUGUGUGUGAAUGUCUUCCAGAUGAAGUUCCUACUAACCCAAGAUGUCGUGAGCUUAAUGACGAAAACUGUGAAAAACAAUGCGCUCACGGAUACCUCAAGGAUGAGGAUGGUUGCACAGUAUGCAAGUGCUCAAAAUGUCCACCACUCCAUCAGUGCCACAAGCAUUGUCUCUAUGGAUUCGAGACGAAUUCGGCGGGAUGUUCGUUGUGCAAGUGUCGAGCUUCAUCGAAAUUGGAUAAGAAGCAAGGCACAACUAAAUCAACGAAACUUGGAGCCGGCUCUGCGCAGCAAACUGAGUAUCACAGUGAAAAAUGCAUAUCGUUCUCAAAUGACGGUCAUCAAAUCGUGAGAGAUGGUGGAGAAUGGUGGAGUGAUGGAUGUAGACAUUGCUUCUGUGAAAACAAACAAGAAUUCUGUUCAUUGAUUUCAUGUCCAACAAAACCAUCAGAUUGUGCUGAUGAAAAAUGGGUGCAAAAAGAAGAUGAAUGUUGUCCAUCUUGCAUUGAUCAGAAGAAGAAACCAAAAUCGAGCAAUUCAUUGGCAGCUCAAAAACAUGAGCAUACAGUAUGCCAGUCACCUGGAACUGGAAGACUCUUCACAGAUGGUGAAACGUGGCAAUUGGCACCAUGUGUCUCAUGUACUUGUCGUGUUGGACACGUACUCUGUAGAACGACAGAAUGUCCUCCGAUCGCCUGUCCUAACCCCGAAUAUCAAAACGAAGAAGACUGCUGUCCAACUUGUCCAGAGCAAAAAGUUGAGAAUACGAAAAAUGAGAAAGGUGAUACUAUUGUGUGUACGGAUGAUGCUGGAACAGCUCAUAUUGUUGCUGCACAAGUUCAACGAAGUCGGCCAAAUAGCAUCGGGGGGAGCAUCAACAGUAAGACUUUCAGCGUCAAAAACAAUUGGAUCCAUGCCAAGACUCGUGGAUUGGAAGGACACGAGAGAAGAAAGUACGGAGGAAUUGUUGAAGACAUCAACUAAUCAUGUUCGACACGACUCGCAGAAUUCAGAUGAUCAAUCAGACAGUUUGCUUUCUACAAUGAGUGAUACUUCGACAGCACCUUCUACAAUUUCUUCUUCUGGACACGUGCCGAUUUCAGACACACAACCACUGACACCGAAGCAUCGAUAUCCAGUAUAAUUAAACCAUCCUUUGUUUUUCUUACUUCCUCAUUCUCAUUGCGGGUUCAAAAUUCGCAUACAAUUUUUACUCGUACAGUUUCUGUCACAUGUUCGAGUUUUUCAUUUCAAUCAUCUAAUUAUGAAUCCACCUUCUCAUCCACAAUCAAUUUAACUCACGAUGCGGGUCAUCCUUGUCCCUGAUUUUAAUGAAAAAGCUUUUCGUCUCGUCAGUUCAUGUAAUGUGUUUUGUACAGUUAUGUUGCACACAUUUGGAUUAAUAAACUAUAAAUAAUUGCUUUA